GCCGAGCGGUAGAGAUUCUUCGGAAUCUUGAGAGCGGCGUACGGGUGCGGAACACGUGUGCGACUUACCUUUAUCCGGGGGAUAGCCUUUCGAAAGGAAGAUUAAUACCCCAUAAUAUAUUAGAUGGCAUCAUUUGAUAUUGAAAACUCCGGUGGAUAGAGAUGGGCACGCGCAAGAUUACAUAGUUGGUGAGGUAACGGCUCACCAAGUCAGUGAUCUUUAGGGGGCCUGAGAGGGUGAUCCCCCACACUGGCACUGAGACACGGACCAGACUCCUACGGGAGGCAGCAGUGAGGAAUAUUGGACAAUGGGUGAGAGCCUGAUCCAGCCAUCCCGCGGGAAGGAUGACGGCCCUAUGGGUUGUAAACUUCUUUUGUAUAGGGAUAAACCUUUCCACGUGUGGAAAGCUGAAGGGACUAUACGAAUAAGCACCGGAUAACUCCGUGCCAGCAGCCGCGGUAAUACGGAGGGUGCAAGCGUUAUCCGGAUUUAUUGGGUUUAAAGGGUCCGUAGGCGGACUCGUAAGUCAGUGGUGAAAUCUCAUAGCUUAACUAUGAAACUGCCAUUGAUACUGCGGGUCUUGAGUAAGGUAGAGGUAGCUGGAAUAAGUAGUGUAGCGGUGAAAUGCAUAGAUAUUACUUAGAACACCAAUUGCGAAGGCAGGUUACCAUGUCUUAACUGACGCUGAUGUACGAAAGCGUGGGGAGCGAACAGGAUUAGAUACCCUGGUAGUCCACGCCGUAAACGAUGCUAACUCGUUUUGGGUUUUCGGAUUCAGAGACUAAGCGAAAGUGAUAAUUAGCACCUGGAGAGUACGUUCGCAAGAAUGAAACUCAAAGGAUUGACGGGGCCGCACAGCGGUGGAUAUGUGCUUAUUCGAUGAUACGCAUGAACUUACAAGCUAAAUGGAA
rnacentral:rRNA from 1 species